rnacentral:rRNA from 1 species
UACGUAGGGUGCAAGCGUUGUCCGGAAUUACUGGGUGUAAAGGGUCCGCAGGCGGGCAAGCAAGUCGGUGGUGAAAGUCUUUGGCUCAACCAAAGAAUGGCCUUCGAUACUGCUUGUCUUGAGUUCGAGAGAGGGUAAUGGAAUUCAUGGUGUAGCGGUGAAAUGCGUAGAGAUCAUGAAGAACACCGGUAGCGAAGGCGGUUACCUGGCUCGAUACUGACGCUCAGGGACGAAAGCGUGGGGAGCAAAC